rnacentral:misc_RNA from 1 species
UCACUCCGGUCAGCGUCCAGCAGG